GUCGAACGAACUCUGGUAUUGAUUGGUGCUUGCAUCAUGAUUUACAUUUGAGUGAGUGGCGAACUGGUGAGUAACACGUGGGAAACCUGCCCAGAAGCGGGGGAUAACACCUGGAAACAGAUGCUAAUACCGCAUAACAACUUGGACCGCAUGGUCCGAGUUUGAAAGAUGGCUUCGGCUAUCACUUUUGGAUGGUCCCGCGGCGUAUUAGCUAGAUGGUGGGGUAACGGCUCACCAUGGCAAUGAUACGUAGCCGACCUGAGAGGGUAAUCGGCCACAUUGGGACUGAGACACGGCCCAAACUCCUACGGGAGGCAGCAGUAGGGAAUCUUCCACAAUGGACGAAAGUCUGAUGGAGCAACGCCGCGUGAGUGAAGAAGGGUUUCGGCUCGUAAAACUCUGUUGUUAAAGAAGAACAUAUCUGAGAGUAACUGUUCAGGUAUUGACGGUAUUUAACCAGAAAGCCACGGCUAACUACGUGCCAGCAGCCGCGGUAAUACGUAGGUGGCAAGCGUUGUCCGGAUUUAUUGGGCGUAAAGCGAGCGCAGGCGGUUUUUUAAGUCUGAUGUGAAAGCCUUCGGCUCAACCGAAGAAGUGCAUCGGAAACUGGGAAACUUGAGUGC
rnacentral:rRNA from 1 species